GACCGCGUAGCUCAGUUGGAAGAGCAUUGGGCUAGUAUUCCAAAGGUCGUAGGUUCGAAUCCCACCAUGGCUG